rnacentral:rRNA from 1 species
UAUUUAGUGGCGAACGGGUGAGUAAUGCAUGAGAACGUAUCCUCAAGAGAGGGACAACAUUGGGAAACCGAUGCUAAUACCCCAUAAGCCGGGAGGUAAAAGGAGCAAUCCGCUUGAGGAGCGGUUCAUGUCCUAUCAGCUAGUUGGUGAGGUAACGGCUCACCAAGGCGAAGACGGGUAGCCGGCCUGAGAGGGUGAACGGCCACACUGGAACUGAGAGACGGUCCAGACUCCUACGGGAGGCAGCAGUGGGGAAUAUUGGGCAAUGGGGGAAGCCCUGACCCAGCGACGCCGCGUGAGGGAAGAAGGCCUUAGGGUCGUAAACCUCUGUUGUGUGGGAAGAAGAGCGUGACGGUACCACACGAGGAAGUCCCGGCUAACUACGUGCCAGCAGCCGCGGUAAUACGUAGGGGACGAGCGUUGUCCGGAUUUACUGGGCGUAAAGGGCGCGUAGGCGGUCAUUUAAGUCAGCUGUGAAAUGGUUUGGCUUAACCGGAUCAUGCGGUUGAAACUGGAUGACUGGAGUGCUGGAGAGGCAA